AACGCGAAGAACCUUACCAGGGCUUGACAUGUACCGGAAAGCGGCGGAAACGUCAUCCUCCCGCAAGGGACCGGUAUGCAGGUGUUGCAUGGCUGUCGUCAGCUCGUGUCGUGAGAUGUUGGGUUAAGUCACGCAACGAGCGCAACCCUUGCCCUUACUUGCCACCAUUUAGUUGGGCACUCUAGGGGGACUGCCGGCGUUAAGCCGGAGGAAGGUGGGGACGAAUUCAAGUCAUCAUGGCCCUUAUGUCCAGGGCUACACACGUGCUACAAUGGGCGGUACAAAGGGUUGCAAACCCGCAAGGGGGAGCCAAUCCCAAAAAACCGCUCUCAGUUCGGAUUGGAGUCUGCAACUCGACUCCAUGAAGUUGGAAUCGCUAGUAAUCGCGGAUCAAAACGCCGCGGUGAAUACAUUCCCGGGCCUUGUACACACCG
rnacentral:rRNA from 1 species